UACGGGGGGGGCAAGCGUUGUUCGGAAUUACUGGGCGUAAAGGGCUCGUAGGCGGCCAACUAAGUCAGACGUGAAAUCCCCAGGCUCAACCUGGGAACUGCGUCUGAUACUGGAUGGCUUGAAUUCGGGAGAGGGAUGCAGAAUUCCAGGUGUAGCGGUGAAAUGCGUAGAUAUCAGGAGGAACACCGAUGGCGAAGGCAGGUCUCUGGGCUGACACUGACGCUGAGGAGCGAAAGCGUGGGGAGCGAACAGG
rnacentral:rRNA from 1 species